GGUGAGUAACACGUAAACAACCUGCCUUAAGGAUGGGGAUAACAGACGGAAACGACUGCUAAUACCGAAUAUGUUCUAAGCAUCGCAUGGUGCAUAGAAGAAAGGGUGGCCUCUACAAGAAAGCUAUCGCCUUAAGAGGGGUUUGCGACUGAUUAGGUAGUUGGUGAGGUAACGGCUCACCAAGCCGACGAUCAGUAGCCGGUCUGAGAGGAUGAACGGCCACACUGGAACUGAGACACGGUCCAGACUCC
rnacentral:rRNA from 1 species